rnacentral:lncRNA from 1 species
ACAGGGCUAUAAAGCGCGCAGUAAAAGGUUUCCCUAGGCCAUUAAUAAAUCUAAACAAGGAAUUAUUUGCUCAAAUUGUCGAUCAAGCCUUUGGACAACCUUUGAAUCCACCUUUUGAUCCCUAUGCCAAUUCCUUGAACUACCAACUUGCGGCUUACAUAACUACUUUAGUUGGCCCCGAUAUGUAUGUUGGAAUCAUUCCAAAGCUUCAAAAUACCGAGUCCAAAGAAGUAAGUGAUCAAUUUUUGAAGUUUUUUUUUACGAUUUUGUUUACUUACUUGCUUAAAGAGUGCUUGCGUAAUUUAUUAUUAAAAAAGGACAAGGGUAAAAAUAUAUUGACUUUUUUUUACUGAAUUUCCCUAAUUUUUUAAAUGCUAAAUAUUUUAAAAAAAGAAAUAUUCUUUAUUUUAUAUUUAAUGUAUUUUUUUAUUCCCUAAUUAUUAUCUUUUAAAAUUAUUUAACACGUAUCAAAAUCAAUCUUUUUAUAAUCACAUGGAGGAGGGUUUUAUUAAUAGUUAAUUAGUUUAAGUAGUAGAUAAUUACGUAUAUUAUUCUCUCAAAAGAUUUCAGAUUUGAUAUUUAUUCAUGGGAAAAAAAACUAAUGGAAUAAACGGUCUCUCUCUAUAUGUAUAACUUACACCACUUAUCUCUCUAUAUGUAUAACUUACACCACUUAUUUUUUUAUAAAGAGUAAGUUAGAAAGUUAACAAAAUUUAUAGUCAUAAUCUACCAACUUACUUUUUAUAAAAAUCAACUUACUUUUUAUAAAAAUUAAGUAGGUGUAAAUUAAUAAACUCAUAUAUUGAGGGGAGGGAGAAAAAGAAGGAAUCAAAGAAUAAGUUUUUAGAGUUAUUUUUUAUUCUUAUUAUUUAUUUUUUUGAAAUCUAAUGAUUAGAAUUAAUAAACAAAAUGAGAAAGUAUUUUAAUAUGUCAUGUAUAUUGGAUAUGAAAGAAUCAGUGACUAAGUUUAGUAACAUAAAGUUUGUUUCAUCUUGUUAAUUUUGGAGUCACUAAAUUUUAGAGACGGGUGUUUUAAAAAAAAUACACAUAUAAAUUGUUUGUUCAUAAAUUUUAUUUUUUCAAAAGGAAGAUAUAAUAGAAGAUAAACUUUUAUUGUAAAUAUAAACUUUAGGGACACUAGAUAAGCAAAUAAAAAAUAGAAAGUAUUUAACAAGAAAGACAACAUUUAUAAUAUAAAUUAAAAGAUAAAAAUAAUUUAGUAUUUACUUUAAUUUUAAUAUCCUCCAUUUAUUAAUCGAUACUUUUAAAAUAUUACUCAAAUUUAAUUUUUCAUAGGAAGUAUCACAUUUUUUAAGAAAAGAAAGUACCAAAUUAUGUAUAUGUAUAUGUAUAUAUGUGCAGGUUUUUGCUGGCCUUCUAGGAGCAGCAAGUGGCGGUCAAACAAGUAUUCGAGCAUAUCUAUACGAACGUUGGGACUCGCCGGUGCCACCAUAUAAAGUGACUGUGGCAGAGUUCACAAAUCGCAUUGCAGAACGAGCGAAUAAGCUAGGAAUGGAAGGAACCAAAACUGAGGGUAUUGUAGUACCUCCAUGGAAUGGUGCUGAAGGCAAAGUUUCAGGUAAUGUGAUUGAGGCCGACAAAUAUUCACUUUCAUAUGGAAGGACCCCAGAGGAAAUAUUAAGGAUAUCGUAUGGGAGUGGCAAUGAAACUAUCCCAGGUGGCUUCUACCCUCAUGGAGCAAAUGGUCGUAUAGCCCAAUAUUACUUUAAUUAAUAUGCCAUAGUUAUAUAGUCUAUAUCUUGAAAGAGCUGUGCCAGGCGAUGGCUGAAGUUUAUAAUAAGCAAUAUACAUGUUGCAUUGAACUGAUCUGAAAAUAAAAUUGCCUCAUGUCGAUCGUACUCGCUUUAAAAAUUUGCAUAUAAUGUUACAUUUUUUUUUUUGGGGGGGGGGGUCAACCAAAUUAAAAGUAUUUCAUUAAUAUAAUGGUACCGGUAGUACCUCUGCGUCAUACAACAUUGACAAUAUAUUACAUUAAAGUUUCUAUAUCCCACCGAAAGAAUCCCAGCACAAAUUACGUGCCAUUCAAUUCAAAGGUCCCCCCUCCCUGUAAUAAUGCACAUCCUAUUUUAUUAAGUGCCAUACUUGAAGCCCCGAAGUGACCCUGUGCAGAAAGCAAUAUCCUAGCAUAGCAGAAUUGCCCUAUUACAACAACUUGGUGGUUUACAUACCAAUCAUAAAAGGAGUGAUUGAAAGUUUUUUUACUUUAGCAGACAACCACGACCAUGAUCUAAAUCGAAGUUGCUCCACCGUUUUCAUCAAAGUCCAGCUGUUCCCCUUCAAAAAUUAUCCUGUUUCUAUGGCACCAGAUUGACCAUACUGUAGCACACCAAAUUACCCUCCACAACUUUGUUUUUCUCUUCCCAAGCCAGAAGCAAUUGUGCAUAAAAUAGUGUUGUAUUGUUUCACAAUGUUCCACUUGGUGUACACAUCCAAUCCAUUUGUAGCAACUUUGCCAUACUUCAUGCGCAAAUGGACAUGCAAACAGCAAGUGGCCACUGUACGUCCUCCUCCUUCUCAUGGCAGAAUGGGCAUAGCUGGUCCUGCUGCAAACAAUUCUAAAGAAAAAGUUAAUAGAAUUAUCACGAGCUGUUCAUGCAAAAUAUGCAUGUUUAACCGAAUAAGUUCUUGUUGAUACGUUUUUCCCGAGAAUAACAUUCUCUGCCAAAUGGAUGAUAUGCAUAUUUUUGGGGAAAAGCAGACAUUUCUCUUUAUUUUUAUUGAUGAGAAAACACAUUAUAAAACAAAAGUAUACACCAUAAAACAAAUUUGUUUAUUUAAUUUGGACUCUUAUUUUUACAUUCAUUAAGUUUAUUUUGUUAACACAGUUUAAAUUCUCGUUACGGUCUUAGAUUUGUUUAACAUAAUUCAAGAUUUUGUCUCUAGAUUUACAAUAAAUUUUUAGGAUAAAUUGGACUUUCUCGCAUCACUAUAUGUUUUUAGGGCAAGUGACUGAAGUGAGACAAAUUUACUAGCAUUUCCUCUAUGUGACUUCCUUCUCUCACCUAGAAUGACGACACAAACUUUUCAUGAUCCCGUCUCUCUAUCACUCAAGUGAUGACUCCCCUCUUUAGGUCAAACAAUUCUUGAAAUAAAUUCUAAUUUUUAUAUACAGACUUAACACUUUAAUUUUAAAAAAAAUUAAUUUACAGAUAAUAUCUUUAAUUUUAAGUAACUUCUUAAAAAUAAAAUAAUAUUAUUUUUAAAUCUAAAUAAUAUCCUAAAAAUUUAAAGUAAAAAAUUUAAAUUAUUUUGGAACGGAUAUAAUUUUACAUGGUUUUCUUGUAAUAGGAUUCGUUUAGUGCCUUAAGACCAAAACUGCAAAUGGAUGAUGCAUACUAGCUAGUUCAUCAUUUGAUAUUCAAAUUAUCGGAAGCAAAUUUUAUUUUGUACGUAGCGAAUCAUGAAAAUAAUCGUAAGUUUAAGUUUAAAUCUUUGAAUAACAUAAAUGAAGAUACUAUAUUUCCCUCGCCGAGAAAUAAGGGCGGUGCGGGGACUAUGUAAUCCUUGGGAACCACCACCAUUACACAUGUUAUUUUUAAUAAUAAUUUUUUUCUAAUAUUUAAUAAAAUUGUUAUAAAAAACUUUUAACAAUAUUUAAAGAAUAUCAUUAAAUAUGAAUAAAUUUUAUUAAUAUAUUUUCAUAAUAUUUUAUUAAAUAUUGUGUUAAUCAUAUCAUCAAAUCAUAUAUUAGUAAUAUUUAAUAAUAUUUUUAAAAUGUUAUCAAAAAAAUUUAAUAAUAUUUUUAUUAACUGUUAAAAUAAAAUAUUAUUAAAUAUCAUAUUUAUAGGAGUGCACUAAUGUGAUUAUUAUCUAAUGGAUGUAGUUUGACGGAAAAGAAUUUUAAUAUUUGAUUUGGCCCAAAAAAAAUACAAAAUCCUCUCCUACACUUCUUUGAUAAUUCAAUAAAUGAGGGAUAGCAAUCUAGAUAAAAUAAUAAUAAUUAUUACUCAUUUUAUUACCUAUCGUCAGUCUUCUUCUGUUAAGUGAUGACAUGACGAAUGGAGCGUCACGUCAUCAAAUCACAUCAGAACCAUGUUAUUACCUUUUUUCCCUUCUCCUUCUUUCCCUUGUCCCCUUUGUGGUACUAGACGGUUGGGAAAGGGAAGAACCUGAAAUGAAAAUAUGGAUUCAAUGAUGAAAUGAUCACAAAUCUAGAAAAAAAAUAGAGGUAAAAAAAUCAUAUCUGAAACAUGAAUCCUCUUUCUUUUAUUGGUGGUGCGUCGAAUCAAAUCUCAAACUCCAAACCAAUAGAACAACUUUUAGAUUUUUAGAAAUCAUCGACUAAACAAAGAUUGAUCAUGGUAACGCGGAGAGAUUUAUGGAAUCUAGUGCGGUGUGGCUGUCGGAGAAAAAGAUAACAAACUGCGGAGGAGUGACGGUUGCGAAAGCAAGACUGUAUCGGAGGAGCGACGACAACAGAGGGAGUGUGAGAUGUUGAGGGCGUAGAGAGGGUAAUUAAUGCGAUUGCGGGCAAGAUGAGUAUUGGUGAUGGCGUAGAUUGGUUGUGAUGGGUACUAGGUGGUUGGGAAAGGUCGCUGAUCUAUGGUGGUGCGAUGGUUUUGUGGGUGGUGGUAUGGCAUGGUGAAGUCGCGCAUGUGUGGGUGGUUACGUUUUUAGUGACAUGGAUGCAUGUGCCUACGUGUUUAGUAAUAACAUAACAUUUCGUUUGUUACGUCAUCACUUAAUGAAUAUGAACUAAUGGUAGGUAGUAAAAUAAAACGUAAUUUUUUUUUCAGAUACUUGAUUAAAAAAAUAUGAAUUUUAGGUAGUAAUCUAAAAACAACUUACAUUCUAAGUAUAAAAAACUUAAUUAAGUCUUAUGUUUAUAAGUCUAGGAUAUUUUCUAAUGACUAUAGUCAUGUAACUAAUUUAUAAUCAUGUAACUAAUUUAUAAUCAUGUAACUAAUUUAUUUCAAGAGAUGACGAUCCUUGAAAUAAGUUUUAUUUCUCUUAGCAAAGUUUUUCCUCUUACAUGAUAAGGAAUCAAUAUAAUUGUAUAUAAUGUUUGGUCGAACUAGGCUACGGCUACAAGGGCAGUCACCCCCAAGUAAACUAAUUUGAUAUAUAUCAUACAUUUGGUCCGCCUCCCUCCCUAUCUCUGAAUUCUAAUAUUGGUCAUAUAUUUAAGUUUUAGGUCUUGAUUGGGUUAAGUUUGAGUUUCAAUAAAUUACUUUAUGUCUUUAUCAAAACAAUUAAAUCAAAUAGAAACACGGGUAAAUUUGUUCAACGACCCGUCCCACAUACAUACACGCCUCUACUAUAUAUAUGUGCUGGAUAUGCAUUAGGUUUACCACCCAGAAAAUAGACGACCCUAAACAUCAUGCUUCGCAGUUCAUUUCUUGUUGUUUUGCUAACCUCCCUUGUACUCCUUCUCCUCAUCCCAAGAUCUUACUCUUCGGAGAUCAAUGUAACACAAACCUACCCGAGCACAAAAUUUGAGUAUGCUCUUCUGGAAUUUCCUCUAAAUAUACAAUAUUUGGUGGCUGAAUUCUUCUUGAUUGGUGCUAAGGGUUAUGGAUUAGAUGCUUUUGCUCCAGGGUUAGCCCAGGGAGGACCCCCUCCCAUUGGAGGCCAAAAGGCCAAUCUGGAUCCCCUCACAGAAGACUUAACCUUGCAGAGUGGUUUAGCUCUAAUUGGACGUUUGAGGUUCUGAUCAUCUCUCUAGUCUCUCUACACAUUACAUUUGUUUAGGGAGGGAAACUAGAAAAGAAUAUUUUGCAUGGCAUGUUUGUUCUUAUUUUGGAAAUGAAUCUAAUAUCUUUAUUUUUAAGAAACAACCAAUAAUAUGAUGAUUUUAAUUUUGAUAAAGUAAAGUGUUGUUUCAUGGUUCCUUAAUUUACAGGGCUAUAAAGCGCGCAGUAAAAGGUUUCCCUAGGCCAUUAAUAAAUCUAAACAAGGAAUUAUUUGCUCAAAUUGUCGAUCAAGCCUUUGGACAACCUUUGAAUCCACCUUUUGAUCCCUAUGCCAAUUCCUUGAACUACCAACUUGCGGCUUACAUAACUACUGUAGUUGGCCCCAAUAUAUAUGUUGGAAUCAUUCCAAAGCUUCAAAAUACCGAGUCCAAAGAAGUAAGUGAUCAAUUUUUGAAGUUGUUUUUUACGAUUUUGUUUACUUACUUGCUUAAAGAGUGCUUGCGUAAUUUAUUAUUAAAAAAGGACAAGGGUAAAAAUAUAUUGACUUUUUUUUUACUGAAUUUCCCUAAUUUUUUAAAUGCUAAAUAUUUUUAAAAAAGAAAUAUUCUUUAUUUUAUAUUUAAUAUAUUUUUGUUUUAUUCCCUAAUUAUUAUCUUUUAAAAUUAUUUAACACGUAUCAAAAUCAAUCUUUUUAUAAUCACAUGGAGGAGGGUUUUAUUAAUAGUUAAUUAGUUUAAGUAGUAGAUAACUACGUAUAUUAUUCUCUCAAAAGAUUUCAGGUUUGAUAUUUAUUCAUGGGAAAAAAACUCUAAUGGAAUAAACAGUCUCUCUCUAUAUGUAUAACUUACACCACUUAUCUCUCUAUAUGUAUAACUUACACCAUUUAUUUUUUUUAUAAAGAGUAAGUUAGAAAGUUAACAAAAUUUAUAGUCAUAAUCUACUAAUUUACUUUUUAUAAAAAUUAAGUAGAUGUAAGUUAAUAAACUCAGAGGGGAGGGAGAAAAAGAGGAAUCAAAGAGUAAGUUUUUAGAGUUAUUUUUUAUUCUUAUUAUUUAUUUUUUUGAAAUCUAAUGGUUAGAAUUAAUAAAAAAAAAUGAGAAAGUAUUUUAAUAUAUCAUAUGUAUAUUGGAUAUGAAGGAAAUAGUGACUAAGUCUAGUAACAUAAAUUUUGUUUCAUCUUGUUAAUUUUGGAGUCACUAAAUUUUAGAGAUGGGUGUUUUAAAAUAAAAUACACAUAUAAAUUGUUUGUUCAUAAAUUUUAUUUUUUCAAAAGGAAGAUAUAAUAGAAGAUAAACUUUUAUUGUAAAUAUAAACUUUAAGGACACUAGAUAAGCAAAUAAAAAAUAGAAAGUAUUUAACAAGAAAGACAACAUUUAUAAUAUAAAUUAAAAGAUAAAAAUAAUUUAGUAUUUACUUUAAUUUUAAUAUCCUCCAUUUAUUAAUCGAUACUUUUAAAAUAUUACUCAAAUUUAAUUUUUAAUAGGAAGUGUCACAUUUUUUAAGAAAAUAAAGUACCAAAUUAUGUAUAUGUAUAUGUAUAUAUGUGCAGCUUUUUGCUGGCCUUCUAGGAACAGCAAGUGGCGGUCGAACAAGUCGUCGAGCAUAUCUAUACGAACGUUGGGACUCGCCGGUGCCACCAUAUAAAGUGACUGUGGCAGAGUUCACAAAUCGCAUUUCAGAACGAGCGAAUAAGCUAGGAAUGGAAGGAAUCAAAAGUGAGGGUAUUGUAGUAUCUCCAUGGAAUGGUGCUGAAGGCAAAGUUUCAGGUAAUGUGAUUGAGGGCGACAAAUAUUCACUUUCAUAUGGAAGGACCCCAGAGGAAAUAUUAAGGAUAUUAUAUGGGAGUGGCAAUGAAACUAUCCCAGGUGGCUUCUACCCUCAUGGAGCAAAUGGUCAUAUAGCCCAAUAUUACUUUAAUUAAUAUGCCAUAGUUAUAUAGUCUAUAUCUUGAAAGAGCUGUGCCAGGCAAUGGCUGAAGUUUAUAAUAAGCAAUAUACAUGUUGCAUUGAACUGAUCUGAAAAUAAAAUUGCCUUAUGUCGUACUCGCUUUAAAGAUUUGCAUAUAAUGUUACAAUUUUUUUUUGGGGGGGGUCAACCAAAUUAACCACACUGUAGCACACCAGAUUGACCAUACUGUAGCACACCAAAUUACCCUCCACAACUUUGUUUUUCUCUUCCCAAGCCAGAAGCAAUUGUGCAUAAAAUAGUGUUGUAUUGGUUCACAAUGUUCCACUUGGUGCACACAUCCAAUCCAUUUGUAGCAACUUUGCCAUACUUCAUGCGCAAAUGGACAUGCAAACAGCAAGUGGCCACUGUCCUCCUCAUGGCAGAAUGGGCAUAGCUGGUCCUGCGGCAAACAAUUCUAGCGAAAAAGUUAAUAGAAUUAUCACGAGCUGUUCAUGCAAAAUAUGCAUGUUUAACCGAAUAAGUUCUUGUUGAUACGUUUUUCCCGAGAAUAACAUUCUCUGCCAAAUGGAUGAUAUGCAUAUUUUUGGGGAAAAGCAGACAUUUCUCUUUAUUUUUAUUGAUGAGAAAACACAUUAUAAAACAAAAGUAUACACCAUAAAACAAAUUUGUUCAUUUAACAAGAUUUGGACUCUUAUUCUUACAUUCAUUAAGUUUAUUUUGUUAAUCCAGUUUAAAUUUUCAUUAAGGUCUUAGAUUUGUUUAACAUUUUAUUUCUACAUUUACAAUAAAUUUUUAGGACAAAUUCAACAAACUUACAAACUUUUUCACAUCACUGUAUGUUUUUAGGACAAGUGAGACAACUAUGUGACUUCCUUCUCUCAAACUUUUCAUAUCCCGUCUCUGACUCAAGUGAUGACUCUUUCUUUAGGCCAAAUAAUUCUUGAAAUAAAUUUCUAAUUUUUAUAUAUAGAUUUAACAUUCUAAUCUUAAAAUAAAUUUUUAAUUUACGGAUAACAUCUUUAAUUCUAAGUAACUUCUUAAAAUAAAAUAAUAUUAUUUUUAAAUCUAAAUAAUAUCUUAAAAAUUUAAAAUUACAAAUUUAAAUUAUUUUGGAACGGAUAUAAUUUUACAUGGUUUUCUUAUAAUAGGAUUCGUUUAGUGCCUUAAGACCAAAACUGCAAAUGGAUGAUGCAUACUAGCUAGUUCAUCAUUUGAUAUUCAAAUUAUCGGAAGCAAAUUUUAUUUUGUACGUAGCGAAUCAUGAAAAUAAUCGUAAGUUUAAGUUUAAAUCUUUGAAUAACAUAAAUGAAGAUACUAUAUGUAGUUUGACGGAAAAUAAUUUUAAUAUUUGAUUUGGCCCAAAAAACAUACAAAAUCCUCUCCUAGACUUCUUUGAUAAUUCAAUAAAUAAGGGAUAUCAAUCUAGAUAAAAUAAUAAUAAUUGUUACUCAUUGAAUUUUUAUAAUUGCAAAACCUUUUCCUUUUAUUCUUACAGCUACUUAAUAAAAACUUUUCCUGAUUAUCUAGCUAGUCAUAAACUAUUCUUAACAAACCUUCUAAUAAAUUAUUGGGCUAAGUACCCUUCUCCGUCACCUUGGAAGAUGGUUUUGAGCUUUUCGAUAAAUACCUUUCUCCAUCACCACUUCAAUCCAACAUCUUCCUGCUUCCAAUAUUUAGAGAAAAUUUUACGUGUAACCAACAAUUUCAUAAUUAGACCAUUGGCAAAUAAUUACGGAUAGCUUUUAAUUCUUUGAAAACAGAUGGGUGCAUGGUGAUUGAAUGGCUAAUAAAGCAAUUUGAAUAAUAAUAAAAAAAAAACCAAUGAAGGUGCCAUUUGAAAAGCUUCCAAGUGCAACGGAAUAAUGCUUUUUAUAUCCUUUGAAUAGGUAACAGGAGUUAUGAAAGAAAUAUGAACAUUUGAAUUUAAAAGGAAAGAAUAAAUAGUAAUUAAUUGUCAUUAUUUCUACGUAGAAAAAACGUGAGAGUGUGUGUGCCUGUGAGGAGAGUGCCCUAUGCCUGUGAGAAUGAUGAGGGUGCUAGUAUGACUCUGAGGCUAGUGUGUGAUAAUGUGAAAAUAUCGGAGAGUGAGAGGUUGGUUGGGAGCAAAUGUCUGCAUGAGAAUUAUGAGUGAUUAUUAAAAUUUCUUAAACAUACUCUCAUUGAAAAAUAACUCAUAAUAAUGCAUUCAUUCAAGAUUGUUUUUCUAAUAUUUAUAUAUAUAGAAGAUUUUUUCAAUUAAAUUAUCACAUUUUCUUUUUUAAUUUAAUUUUCUUAUUUUUGGAAUUUUAUAUUUAUUUAAUCAUUUAAUUUAUUUUAAUUUUUUUUCUUUUUUGUAUUUAUUUAAUUGGGUUACAAAUCCAAAAAAAAAAACACCAAGAAUUUACUUUGGAUUAUUUUCAAGUUGUGUUAAAGUAAAUAGUAGAUACAUCUUUUCAAUUCCUUUUUGCAAUGAUUCUAUUUUUACUUUUCUUUUUCAGAAACCAUUAUUUUUAAUUAUUACCUGUUUUUAUCAAAUCAGACAAAAUUGAAUGUUCACAAUUAUUUCUUCUAAAAGUAUAACUUUUUUAAUACUUGAACAUUUAUAAUAAAAGGUUUAAUGUAAUAAAUAAUAUUUUAUAUAAUAUGAUAUUAUAUUUAUAAAUUUUUUGGUUUGCAUUAAGAUAUUCCGUGAUGAUAGUCUUUGACUAAUUUCUUUUAAGACAUAAUUAAUUAUCACUGAAAUAAGUUUUGUUUCUCUUUUUAGUAGUAAAGUUUUCUCCACUUACAUGGCAGGAAAUUAAUAUAUAUAUAUAUAUAUAUAUAUAUAUAUAUAUAUAUAUAUAUAUAAUUAAAGAUUCUAAUUAUCUACUAACUAUGUUAAUCUUUGUUAUAUUUAUAAAGAUAUAAUUUAUUUUAAAAUAUAUAUUAUAAAAUACAUUUUAAUUUAAAUUGUGAUCUUUUUCAUUCUACGAUAUAAUUGUAUAUAAUGUUGGAGGUGGAACUAGGUUACAGGCUUACAGCUACAAGGACAGUCACCCCCCAAGUAAACAAAAUUUCUUAACAUCUAAUUUGAUAUCAUACAUUGGCUCCCCUCCCUCUGAAUUCUAAUAUUGGUCAUAUAUUUAUUGUUGUUUUGCUACAAGGACAGUCAACCCGUUGUGUGUGUGUGUGCACUUCAUUUAUUGUUGUUUUGCUAACCUCCCUUGUCCUCCUUCUCUCCAUCCCAAGAUCUUAUUCUUCCGAGAUCAAUGUACUCGCGCCCAAAAUUUGAGGAUGCUCUUCUGGAAUUUCCUUUAAAUCUAGUAUAUUUGGUGGCUGAAUUCUUCUUGUUUGGUGCUAAGGGAGUAAGGGAUGGAUUAGAUGUUUUUGCUCCAGGGAGGCCAAAAGGCCAAUCUGGAUCCCCUCACAAAAGACUAUAUGACUCGAUCAUUACACAAUUUGCCUUUUGAAUAUCAAAUAAUGAACUAAACAUCAUCCAUUCGCAGUUUUGAUCUCAAGGCUAAACAAACAUAUAUAUUGCCAGAAAUACAAUGUAACAUUAUAUGCAAAUGUUUAAUACAACGUACAUCGUAAGGCAAUUUUAAUUUCUGAUCAGUUCAAUGCAACAUGUGCAUUCCUUAUUUUAUAUAUAAACUGCAGCCAAUGGCUGGCAGAAUACGUGACAUAGUUUGCAAAUAGAGUAUAACUCUAUUGCACAUACUAGCUGCUAAAUAAGUAAUAUUUGGCUAUAAGACCAUUUGCUCCCUUAGGGAAGUAGCCGCCCGGGACACAUUCAUCACCACUGCAAUAUGCUAUCCUCAAUAUUUCCUUUGGGGUCGUUAUAUAUGAAAGCAUCAAUCAAGUUACCUGGAACUAUUCCCUCAGCACCUUUCCAUGCAGGAACUACGAGACCCUCACUUUUCGUUCAUGCCGAUCCUAGAAUGCCACAACAAGCUGCAGUACAUAUAAAGAAUUUGGUUAUUCGUGUUUAAUUAUAAGCUUAAUUAUAUAAUUGGUGUCUUAAUUAUAUGACUCUCAUAUCAUGUCACAAAGUGGAUUUGGACUUAACUCAAUCAUAUAAAAUAUGAGGUAAGAAUUAUUUCUCACUUAUAUAGUUUAUCUCGAUACUAUUUUUAAUCGAUGUGGGACUUAAUAUGUCUCGUUUUCCUUAUGACUAUUCGUUAUGUGUAACUUUCAAUACACACAUCUAUUUACGUGUGACCACAAUUAUUUAACUAAAAAUUUAAAAGUAUCAAUUGAGAAAUAUCUCAAAAAAAUAAAUACAAAAUUAUUUUUAUAUCAUAAUUUAUAUAAUAAAUGUUGUCUUUGUUAUUAAAUACUUUCUAUUUUAUAUUUUCUGUUUUAAAGUUAAUAUUUGCAUUAGAAGCUUAUCCUCUAUCAUAACUUCCUAGAAAAAUUAAAAUUGAUGACAGAACAAUUUAUAUAUGUAAUUUUUAAGACAACCGUCAAAUUUUUUGUGACUCCAAAAUUAACAAGAGAAAAGCAUUUUUCUGUUACUAAAUUUAGUCACUAAUUCAUUUAUAUCCAAUAUACCUGACAUAUCAAAAGACCUCCAAGAUGUAUUUUUUGUUUUUGGUAUAAAUCGCAAAUACUCAUGUAAACAUAUAUAAUAUAGAUUUUUUUAUUAUCUAUCGUCAGUCUCCUUCUGUUAAGUGAUGGCGUGACAAAUGGAGCGUCACGUUAUCAUGUCACAUCAGAACCACAUCAUUAUCUUUUUUCCUUUCUCCUUCUCUUUCUUCCCCUUCUCCCCUUUGUAGUACUAGGUGAUUGGGAAAGGGAAAAACUUGAAAUGGAAAUAUGGAUUUAACGAUGAAAUGAUCAUAAAUCUAGAAAAAAAAAUAGAGGUAAAAAAAUCAUAUCUGAAACACGGAUCCUCUUCCUCUUGUUGGUGAUGCGUCGAAUCAAAUCUCAAACUCCAAACCAGUAGAAAAACUUUUAGAUUUUUAAAAAUCAUCGACUAAACAAAGAUUAAUCAUGGUAACACGAAGAGAUUUAUGUAAUUAUACUCAAAUUGGAAACAUAUAUAAUAUAAAUUUUUUAUUUUCAUAAAUAAAUAAAUAUCAAACCUGAAAUUUUUUUUAAGAGAAUAAGAUAUGUAGUUAUGUACUACGUAAACUAAUUAAUUAAAUAUACUAAAAAACCUCUAGCUUCCAUGUGAUUAUAAAAAGAUUGGUUUUGUUAACAUAUACCACCGACACAUGUUAAAUAAUAUUAAAAGAUAAUAAUCCGGGCAUAAAAAUAUAAAAUAAAAUUAUUUCAUUUCAAAAAAAAAAAUAUUUAACAUUUAAAAAUAAUUAGAGAAAUUUAAUAAAAAAAGUCAAUAUUAUUUUUUCCCUUGUCCUUUUUUAAUAAUAAAUUAAUUACACGUGUACUCUUUAAGCAAGUAUGUAAACAAAGUCGUAAAAUACUUGAAAAAUUUAGAUAAGUUUAACCCCUUACUUCUUUGAACGCGGUAUUUUGUAGCUUUGGA